rnacentral:rRNA from 1 species
UACGUAGGGUGCGAGCGUUGUCCGGAAUUAUUGGGCGUAAAGAGCUCGUAGGCGGCUCGUCGCGUCGACCGUGAAAACCCGCGGCUUAACUGCGGGCUUGCGGUUGAUACGGGCGGGCUAGAGUUCGGUAGGGGAGACUGGAAUUCCUGGUGUAGCGGUGAAAUGCGUAGAGAUCGGGAAGAACAUCGGUGGCGAAAGCGCUCUACUGGGCCAUAACUGACACUCAGGGACGAAAGCUAGGGGAGCGAAUGGG